GACGAACGCUGGCGGCGUGCUUAACACAUGCAAGUCGAGCGGUAAGGCCCUUUCGGGGUACGACGAGCGGCGAACGGGUGAGUAACACGUGGGUGACCUGCCCUCAGCUCUGGGAUAAAAAGCCUGGGAAACCGGGUCUAAUACCGGAUAUGACUCCAUGACGCAUGUUGUGGGGUGGAAAGCCUUGUGCGGCUGAGGAUGGGCCCGCGGCCUAUCAGCUUGUUGGUGGGGUGAUGGCCUACCAAGGCGACGACGGGUAGCCGGCCUGAGAGGGCGACCGGCCACACUGGGACUGAGACACGGCCCAGACUCCUACGGGAGGCAGCAGGUGGGGAAUCUUGCGCAAGUGGGCGAAAGCCUGACGCAGCGACGCCGCGUGAGGGAUGACGGCC
rnacentral:rRNA from 1 species